GGCCUGCUGGCGAAAUGGCAUCGCGUCACAUUUCGGCUUUCUCUCUUAGUCAUACUGUGAAGAUUGUAGGUUCGAUCCCUACGUAGGUCG